rnacentral:rRNA from 1 species
UACGAAGGGGGCUAGCGUUGUUCGGAAUUACUGGGCGUAAAGCGCGCGCAGGCGGUUCUUCAAGUCAGAGGUGAAAGCCCAGAGCUCAACUCUGGAAUGGCCUUUGAGACUAGAGAACUAGGGUACGGGAGAGGUGAGUGGAAUUCCGAGUGUAGAGGUGAAAUUCGUAGAUAUUCGCAAGAACACCAGUGGCGAAGGCGGCUUACUGGUCCGGUUCUGACGCUGAGGCGCGAAAGCGUGGGGAGCAAACAGG